UGCAUCAUGAUUUACAUUUGAGUGAGUGGCGAACUGGUGAGUAACACGUGGGAAACCUGCCCAGAAGCGGGGGAUAACACCUGGAAACAGAUGCUAAUACCGCAUAACAACUUGGACCGCAUGGUCCGAGCUUGAAAGAUGGCUUCGGCUAUCACUUUUGGAUGGUCCCGCGGCGUAUUAGCUAGAUGGUGGGGUAACGGCUCACCAUGGCAAUGAUACGUAGCCGACCUGAGAGGGUAAUCGGCCACAUUGGGACUGAGACACGGCCCAAACUCCUACGGGAGGCAGCAGUAGGGAAUCUUCCACAAUGGACGAAAGUCUGAUGGAGCAACGCCGCGUGAGUGAAGAAGGGUUUCGGCUCGUAAAACUCUGUUGUUAAAGAAGAACAUAUCUGAGAGUAACUGUUCAGGUAUUGACGGUAUUUAACCAGAAAGCCACGGCUAACUACGUGCCAGCAGCCGCGGUAAUACGUAGGUGGCAAGCGUUGUCCGGAUUUAUUGGGCGUAAAGCGAGCGCAGGCGGUUUUUUAAGUCUGAUGUGAAAGCCUUCGGCUCAACCGAAGAAGUGCAUCGGAAACUGGGAAACUUGAGUGCAGAAGAGGACAGUGGAACUCCAUGUGUAGCGGUGAAAUGCGUAGAUAUAUGGAAGAACACCAGUGGCGAAGGCGGCUGUCUGGUCUGUAACUGACGCUGAGGCUCGAAAGUAUGGGUAGCAAACAGGAUUAGAUACCCUGGUAGUCCAUACCGUAAACGAUGAAUGCUAAGUGUUGGAGGGUUUCCGCCCUUCAGUGCUGCAGCUAACGCAUUAAGCAUUCCGCCUGGGGAGUACGGCCGCAAGGCUGAAACUCAAAGGAAUUGACGGGGGCCCGCACAAGCGGUGGAGCAUGUGGUUUAAUUCGAAGCUACGCGAAGAACCUUACCAGGUCUUGACAUACUAUGCAAAUCUAAGAGAUUAGACGUUCCCUUCGGGGACAUGGAUACAGGUGGUGCAUGGUUGUCGUCAGCUCGUGUCGUGAGAUGUUGGGUUAAGUCCCGCAACGAGCGCAACCCUUAUUAUCAGUUGCCAGCAUUAAGUUGGGCACUCUGGUGAGACUGCCGGUGACAAACCGGAGGAAGGUGGGGAUGACGUCAAAUCAUCAUGCCCCUUAUGACCUGGGCUACACACGUGCUACAAUGGAUGGUACAACGAGUUGCGAACUCGCGAGAGUAAGCUAAUCUCUUAAAGCCAUUCUCAGUUCGGAUUGUAGGCUGCAACUCGCCUACAUGAAGUCGGAAUCGCUAGUAAUCGCGGAUCAGCAUGCCGCGGUGAAUACGUUCCCGGGCCUUGUACACACCGCCCGUCACACCAUGAGAGUUUGUAACACCCAAAGU
rnacentral:rRNA from 2 species